rnacentral:misc_RNA from 1 species
UUCUCAAGAAGCUGAUGAUAUCAAAGACUACACAGAGACCAGUCAGAAGCUAACUGAGUUCAGAUUUCUGGAUUUAUUCAACCUAAAAUAUGCUCAUUCACUUAUUGUUGGAGUUGGUCUAAUGCUUCUGGUACAAUUUGGGGGGACAGAUGGAAUUUCAUCUUUUGCUGGCUCAAUAUUCAAAGCUGCUGGCUGUUCGACUGGUUUUGCUUCUACAAUGAUGGCUAUGAUCCAGCUUCCUUUUGCUUCUAGUAGCAUACUAUUGAUGGAUAAUAUUGGACGCCGCCCACUUCUGAUGGUUACAGCAGCUGGAGCAUGCUUUGGAAGCUUUCUGGUAGGGUUGGGG